UUACCGAGUUUACAACUCCCAAACCCAAUGUGAACGUUACCAAACUGUAUGCCUCGGCGGGAUCUCUGCCCCGGGUGCGUCGCAGCCCCGGACCAAGGCGCCCGCCGGAGGACCAACCUAAAACUCUUUUGUAUACCCCCUCGCGGGUUUUUUAUAUCUGAGCCAUCUCGGCGCCUCUCGUAGGCGUUUCGAAAAUGAAUCAAAACUUUCAACAACGGAUCUCUUGGUUCUGGCAUCGAUGAAGAACGCAGCGAAAUGCGAUAAGUAAUGUGAAUUGCAGAAUUCAGUGAAUCAUCGAAUCUUUGAACGCACAUUGCGCCCGCCAGUAUUCUGGCGGGCAUGCCUGUCCGAGCGUCAUUUCAACCCUCGAACCCCUCCGGGGGGUCGGCGUUGGGGAUCGGCCCUUUACGGGGCCGGCCCCGAAAUACAGUGGCGGUCUCGCCGCAGCCUCUCCUGCGCAGUAGUUUGCACACUCGCAUCGGGAGCGCGGCGCGUCCAUUGCCGUAAAACACCCAACUUUCUGAAAUGUUGACCUCGGAUCAGGUAGGAAUACCCGCUGAACUUAAGCAUAUCAAUAAGCGGAGGAAAAGAAACCAACAGGGAUUGCCCCAGUAACGGCGAGUGAAGCGGCAACAGCUCAAAUUUGAAAUCUGGCCCCUCGGGGUCCGAGUUGUAAUUUGUAGAGGAUGCUUUUGGUGAGGUGCCGCCCGAGUUCCCUGGAACGGGACGCCACAGAGGGUGAGAGCCCCGUCUGGCUGGCCACCGAGCCUCUGUAAAGCUCCUUCGACGAGUCGAGUAGUUUGGGAAUGCUGCUCAAAAUGGGAGGUAUAUGUCUUCUAAAGCUAAAUAUUGGCCAGAGACCGAUAGCGCACAAGUAGAGUGAUCGAAAGAUGAAAAGCACCUUGAAAAGAGGGUUAAAUAGUACGUGAAAUUGUUGAAAGGGAAGCGCUUGUGACCAGACUUGGGCGCGGCGGAUCAUCCGGGGUUCUCUCCGGUGCACUUCGCCGCGUCUAGGCCAGCAUCAGUUCGUCGCGGGGGAAAAAGGUUUCGGGNACGUGGCUCCUCCGGGAGUGUUAUAGCCCGUUGCAUAAUACCCUGCGGUGGACU
rnacentral:rRNA from 1 species